GAAACUGCGAAUGGCUCAUUAAAACAGUUAUAGUUUAUUUGAUAAUCAAUUACUACAUGGAUAACUGUAGUAAUUCUAGAGCUAAUACAUGCAUCAGCACCCGACUUUACGGAAGGGUCGUGUUUAUUAGAUACAAAACCAACAUCUCUGUUGGUGAUUCAUAAUAACCAAACGAAUCGAGCAGUUUACUGCCGAUAGAUCAUUCAAGUUUCUGACCUAUCAGCUUUCGACGGUAGGGUAUUGGCCUACCGUGGCAUUGACGGGUAACGGAGAAUUAGGGUUCGAUUCCGGAGAGGGAGCCUGAGAAACGGCUACCACGUCUAGGAUGGCAGCAGGCGCGCAAAUUACCCAAUCCUGACACAGGGAGGUAGUGACAAGAAAUAACAAUGCAGGGCAAUUUUGUCUUGUAUUGGAAUGAGUAAAUUUUAAAUCCCUUUGCGAGUAUCAAUUGGAGGGCAAGUCUGGU
rnacentral:rRNA from 1 species